rnacentral:rRNA from 1 species
UCAAGAAACUUCCACAAUGGGCGAAAGCCUGAUGCAGCAACGCCGCGUGCGGGAAGAAGGCCCUCGGGUUGUAAACCGCUUUCAGAAGGAACGAAACUGACGGUACUUUCAGAAGAAGGUGCGGCCAACUACGUGCCAGCAGCCGCGGUGACACGUAGGCACCAAGCGUUGUCCGGAUUUAUUGGGCGUAAAGAGCUCGUAGGCGGUUCAGUAAGUCGGGUGUGAAAACUUUGGGCUUAACCCAAAGCGUGCAUCCGAUACUGCUGUGACUUGAGUACGGUAGGGGAGCGGGGAAUUCCUAGUGUAGCGGUGAAAUGCGCAGAUAUUAGGAGGAACACCGGUGGCGAAGGCGCCGCUCUGGGCCGAAACUGACGCUGAGGAGCGAAAGCAUGGGUAGCAAACAGGAUUAGAUACCCUAGUAGUCCCUGAGCGGGCUGGCAAGGCGCAU